rnacentral:rRNA from 1 species
AGAUUAAGUUAUUAAGGGCGCACGGUGGAUGCCUUGGCACUAGAAGCCGAUGAAGGACGUUACUAACGACGAUAUGCUUUGGGUAGCUGUAAGUAAGCGUUGAUCCAGAGAUUUCCGAAUGGGGGAACCCAGCAUGAGUUAUGUCAUGUUAUCGACAUGUGAAUUCAUAGCAUGUCAGAAGGCAGACCCGGAGAACUGAAACAUCUUAGUACCCGGAGGAAGAGAAAGAAAAAUCGAUUCCCUGAGUAGCGGCGAGCGAAACGGGAAGAGCCCAAACCAACAAGCUUGCUUGUUGGGGUUGUAGGACACUCUAUACGGAGUUACAAAAGAACAUGUUAGACGAAUCAUCUGGAAAGAUGAAUCAAAGAAGGUAAUAAUCCUGUAGUCGAAAACAUAUUCUCUCUUGAGUGGAUCCUGAGUACGACGGAGCACGUGAAAUUCCGUCGGAAUCUGGGAGGACCAUCUCCUAAGGCUAAAUACUCUCUAGUGACCGAUAGUGAACCAGUACCGUGAGGGAAAGGUGAAAAGUACCCCGGAAGGGGAGUGAAAGAGAACUUGAAACCGUGUGCUUACAAGUAGUCAGAGCCCGUUAAUGGGUGAUGGCGUGCCUUUUGUAGAAUGAACCGGCGAGUUACGAUCUGAUGCAAGGUUAAGCAGCAAAUGUGGAGCCGCAGCGAAAGCGAGUCUGAAUAGGGCGUUGAGUAUUUGGUCGUAGACCCGAAACCAGGUGAUCUACCCUUGGUCAGGUUGAAGUUCAGGUAACACUGAAUGGAGGACCGAACCGACUUACGUUGAAAAGUGAGCGGAUGAACUGAGGGUAGCGGAGAAAUUCCAAUCGAACUUGGAGAUAGCUGGUUCUCUCCGAAAU